GAUGAACGCUGGCGGCGUGCCUAAUACAUGCAAGUCGAGCGAACAGAUAAGGAGCUUGCUCCUUUGACGUUAGCGGCGGACGGGUGAGUAACACGUGGGUAACCUACCUAUAAGACCGGAAUAACUCCGGGAAACCGGGGCUAAUGCCGGAUAACAUUUAGAACCGCAUGGUUCUAAAGUGAAAGAUGGUUUUGCUAUCACUUAUAGAUGGACCCGCGCCGUAUUAGCUAGUUGGUAAGGUAACGGCUUACCAAGGCAACGAUACGUAGCCGACCUGAGAGGGUGAUCGGCCACACUGGAACUGAGACACGGUCCAGACUCCUACGGGAGGCAGCAGUAGGGAAUCUUCCGCAAUGGGCGAAAGCCUGACGGAGCAACGCCGCGUGAGUGAUGAAGGUCUUCGGAUCGUAAAACUCUGUUAUUAGGGAAGAACAAAUGUGUAAGUAACUGUGCACGUCUUGACGGUACCUAAUCAGAAAGCCACGGCUAACUACGUG
rnacentral:rRNA from 1 species